rnacentral:rRNA from 1 species
UACGAAGGGUGCAAACGUUGCUCGGAAUUAUUGGGCGUAAAGCGCACGUAGGCGGCUCGGCAAGUCGGAUGUGAAAUCCCUCGGCUCAACCAAGGAAGUGCAUCCGAAACUGCAGAGCUUGAGUACUUAAGAGGAUCGCGGAAUUCCCGGUGUAGAGGUGAAAUUCGUAGAUAUCGGGAGGAACACCAGUGGCGAAGGCGGCCGCCUGGACCUGACCUGACGCUGAGGCGCGAAGGCGCGGGGAGCGAACGGG